rnacentral:misc_RNA from 1 species
CCAAACUUGGUCAUUUAGAGGAAGUAAAAGUCGUAACAAGGUCUCCGUUGGUGAACCAGCGGAGGGAUCAUUACCGAGUACUACACUCAUAACCCUUUGUGAACCAUUAUACCUGUUGCUUCGGCGGCGCCCCCCCGCGGGGUGCCCGCCGGCCUUCAGAAUCUCUGUUUUCGAACCCGACGAUACUUCUGAGUGUUCUUAGCGAACUGUCAAAACUUUUAACAACGGAUCUCUUGGCUCCAGCAUCGAUGAAGAACGCAGC